CAGCCAUCAUUUAAAGAAAGCGUAAUAGCUCACUGGUCGAGUCGGCCUGCGCGGAAGAUGUAACGGGGCUAAACCAUGCACCGAAGCUGCGGCAGCGACACUCAGGUGUUGUUGGGUAGGGGAGCGUUCUGUAAGCCUGCGAAGGUGGCCUGUGAGGGUUGCUGGAGGUAUCAGAAGUGCGAAUGCUGACAUAAGUAACGAUAAAGCGGGUGAAAAGCCCGCUCGCCGGAAGACCAAGGGUUCCUGUCCAACGUUAAUCGGGGCAGGGUGAGUCGACCCCUAAGGCGAGGCCGAAAGGCGUAGUCGAUGGGAAACGGGUUAAUAUUCCCGUACUUGGUGUUACUGCGAAGGGGGGACGGAGAAGGCUAUGUUGGCCGGGCGACGGUUGUCCCGGUUUAAGCGUGUAGGUGUGUGUUCCAGGUAAAUCCGGUUCACUUUAACACUGAGGCGUGACGACGAGGCACUACGGUGCUGAAGCAACAAAUGCCCUGCUUCCAGGAAAAGCCUCUAAGCAUCAGGUAACAUCAAAUCGUACCCCAAACCGACACAGGUGGUCAGGUAGAGAAUACCAAGGCGCUUGAGAGAACUCGGGUGAAGGAACUAGGCAAAAUGGUGCCGUAACUUCGGGAGAAGGCACGCUGACACGUAGGUGAAGUGAUUUACUCAUGGAGCUGAAGUCAGUCGAAGAUACCAGCUGGCUGCAACUGUUUAUUAAAAACACAGCACUGUGCAAACACGAAAGUGGACGUAUACGGUGUGACGCCUGCCCGGUGCCGGAAGGUUAAUUGAUGGGGUCAGCGCAAGCGAAGCUCCUGAUCGAAGCCCCGGUAAACGGCGGCCGUAACUAUAACGGUCCUAAGGUAGCGAAAUUCCUUGUCGGGUAAGUUCCGACCUGCACGAAUGGCGUAAUGAUGGCCAGGCUGUCUCCACCCGAGACUCAGUGAAAUUGAACUCGCUGUGAAGAUGCAGUGUACCCGCGGCAAGACGGAAAGACCCCGUGAACCUUUACUAUAGCUUGACACUGAACAUUGAGCCUUGAUGUGUAGGAUAGGUGGGAGGCUUUGAAGUGUGGACGCCAGUCUGCAUGGAGCCGACCUUGAAAUACCACCCUUUAAUGUUU
rnacentral:rRNA from 1 species